rnacentral:rRNA from 1 species
UACGUAGGGGGCAAGCGUUGUCCGGAUUUAUUGGGCGUAAAGAGCGUGUAGGCGGCCAAGCAGGUCCGCUGUGAAAACUCGAGGCUCAACCUCGAGACGUCGGUGGAAACCGUUUGGCUAGAGUCCGGAAGAGGAGAGUGGAAUUCCUGGUGUAGCGGUGAAAUGCGCAGAUAUCAGGAAGAACACCUAUGGCGAAGGCAGCUCUCUGGGACGGUACUGACGCUGAGACGCGAAAGCGUGGGGAGCGAACAGG